UACCAGCACCCCGAGUGGUCGGGACGAUUAUUGGGCCUAAAGCAUCCGUAGCCGGUUCUACAAGCCUUCCGUUAAAUCCACCUGCUUAACAGAUGGGCUGCGGAGGAUACUAUGGAGCUAGGAGGCGGGAGAGGCAAGCGGUACUUAGUGGGUAGGGGUAAAAUCCGUUGAUCCAUUGAAGACCACCAGUGGCGAAGGCGGCUUGCCAGAACGCACUCGACGGUGAGGGAUGAAAGCUGGGGGAGCAACCGGAUUAAGAAACCCCGUGUACGUC
rnacentral:rRNA from 1 species